GGAGUAUGGGCCGUGUCUCAGUCCCAUUGUGGCCGGUCACCCUCUCAGGUCGGCUACACAUCCUCGCCUUGGUGGGCUGUUAUCUCACCAACUAGCUAAUGUGCCGCAGGUCCAUCUAAGAGUGGUGCAAACGCACCUUUCAAGCGGAAGCCAUGUGGCUCCCGUUGUUAUCCGGUAUUAGCCGAACUUUCGCUCGGGUAUCCCAGUCUCAAAGGCAGGUUACCUACGUGUUACUCACCCGUUCGCCGCUAGGUAGCAAGCUACCUCGCUCGACUUGCAUGUAUUAGGCACGCCGCCAGCGUUCAUC
rnacentral:rRNA from 1 species